UGGCACGGUCGCGACUGGCGUUCGGAUGGGUCACCAUCGGGGAGCGACGAACGAGUGAACGGCUGCCGUACGCCUGGGCCGCCCCC
rnacentral:ncRNA from 2 species